rnacentral:lncRNA from 1 species
GCGCGCGCUCGAUCUCCACAGAUCUGGGCGAGAGCUAGAAGACGACUAGUACCAGAGGAACCAGUCAACCAAUCGAUGAGCCUUCUGUUUGGUCAAAUAUCUCGGCUGCUUCUCUUAAUUACUCCCUCUGUAAACUAAUAUAAGAGUGUUUAGAUAACUAAAAUAGUAAUCUAAACACUCUUAUAUUAGUUUACGGAGGGAGUACCUUCCUUUGUUUAUCUCAUCAUCAGUAGCAGUUCUUCUUACGGCCUAGCUGGAAAUGCAUAGCAUUUCUGAAUUUAGGAUCCUGGCUUGAGGAUGGGUGGUGAUUAAGGUGUUGCCACUGCAUCUUAGUAGCUCUGUACAUUUGUAAAUAGUAACUAUAAUUACUCCUAAGGAGUAAUCGGCAUCAUCGAUUAGGCUUAUCUGAAACUGUGAAUACCUUUGCUUUCCAUGAAUCCAUUUGGCCAAUUCUGAAAAGAAAUGCGCUGUUCUUGAGUGAAUUGAUUCGAUUGCGCUUUUUUCAGAUGUCUUGUAUCAGGGUGAUGAUUAUCUGAACCAGGUAGG